GCGUGGGAUAGAAAUUGUCCUUAUGUAAAUCAUUAUCAAUACAUCUGAAAAUUUAUUUUGGGUUGAAAACAUCCCCGUCUUACAUAUGAUCAUACAGCUAUAAAACCUGGUUUAAUCCAUCUUUUUCUACAUAAGAGGUUCUUGUACUAACUCUGGAAUAUGACAGUUGUUAUUCAUUUGUUUGAUGUGUUUGAGCUUUGAUACGACAUUUGAUAAGGGAGUUUUCGAUUAUUUUUUGUUCUGAAUUCUAUAUUACUCUUAUUUUAC
rnacentral:lncRNA from 1 species